AGCGAACGCUGGCGGCAGGCCUAACACAUGCAAGUCGAACGAACCUUUCGGGGUUAGUGGCGGACGGGUGAGUAACCCGUGGGAACGUGCCUUUAGGUUCGGAAUAACUCAGGGAAACUUGUGCUAAUACCGAAUGUGCCCUUCGGGGGAAAGAUUUAUCGCCUUUAGAGCGGCCCGCGUCUGAUUAGCUAGUUGGUUGAGGUAAUGGCUCACCAAGGCGACGAUCAGUAGCUGGUCUGAGAGGAUGAGCAGCCACAUUGGGACUGAGACACGGCCCAAACUCCUACGGGAAGCAGCAGUGGGGAAUCUUGCGCAAUGGGCGAAAGCCUGACGCAGCCAUGCCGCGUGAAUGAUGAAGGUCUUAGGAUUGUAAAAUUCUUUCACCGGGGACGAUAAUGACGGUACCCGGAGAAGAAGCCCCGGCUAACUUCGUG
rnacentral:rRNA from 1 species